AUUCAGCUGACGAGUCCCAAAUAAGGAGAAACAAGCGUCCUGGAU
rnacentral:hammerhead_ribozyme from 1 species